rnacentral:rRNA from 1 species
GAUCAUGGCUCAGAACGAACGCUGGCGGCAGGCCUAACACAUGCAAGUCGAACGCUCGUAGCAAUACGGGAGUGGCAGACGGGUGCGUAACGCGUGGGAACAUACCCUUUGGUUCGGAAUAACUCAGGGAAACUUGAGCUAAUACCGGAUACGCCCGAGAGGGGAAAGAUUUAUUGCCGAAGGAUUGGCCCGCGUCUGAUUAGCUAGUUGGUGAGGUAACGGCUCACCAAGGCGACGAUCAGUAGCUGGUCUGAGAGGAUGAUCAGCCACACUGGGACUGAGACACGGCCCAGACUCCUACGGGAGGCAGCAGUGGGGAAUAUUGGACAAUGGGCGCAAGCCUGAUCCAGCCAUGCCGCGUGAGUGAUGACGGCCUUAGGGUUGUAAAGCUCUUUUACCCGGGAAGAUAAUGACGGUACCGGGAGAAUAAGCCCCGGCUAACUUCGUG